rnacentral:misc_RNA from 1 species
GAUGAAGAACGUAGCGAAAUGCGAUAAGUAAUGUGAAUUGCAGAAACCAGUGAAUCAUCGAAUCUUUGAACGCACAUUGCGCCCGCCAGCAUUCUGGCGGGCAUGCCUGUUCGAGCGUCAUUUCAACCCUCGACCUCCCUUUGGGGAAGUCGGCGUUGGGGACCGGCAGCACACCGCCGGCCCUGAAAUGGAGUGGCGGCCCGUCCGCGGCGACCUCUGCGUAGUAAUCCAACUCGCACCGGAACCCCGACGCGGCCACGCCGUAAAACACCCAACUUCUGAACGUUGACCUCGAAUCAGGUAGGACUACCCGCUGAACUUAAGCAUAUCAAUAAGCGGAGGA